CGCAGGUUGGCAGAGGGGCCAGAAGCCGGGCCGCUCCGUCCCCUGCUUCCGGCUGCGUCUCCCUGCUCUGGGAGCGGCUGCUGCCGCGUACGCAGUUUCCAUGGGGACUGAAGAUGGCGCCGCGAGGUAACCGGUUGUCCUCAACACCCCUGGAAAUCUUGUUCUUCCUGAAUGGGUGGUAUUAUGCUACCUAUUUCCUGCUAGAACUCUUCAUAUUCCUGUACAAAGGUCUCCUGCUGCCAUAUCCAACAGCCAAUCUAGUAUUGGAUGUGGUGAUGCUCCUCCUUUAUCUUGGAAUUGAAGUAAUUCGACUGUUUUUUGGUACAAAGGGAAACCUCUGCCAGCGAAAGAUGCCACUUGGCAUUAGUGUGGCCUUGACCUUCCCAUCUGCCAUGAUGGCCUCCUAUUACCUGCUGCUACAGACCUACGUACUCCGCCUGGAAGCCAUCAUGAACGGCAUCUUGCUCUUCUUCUGUGGCUCAGAGCUGCUGCUUGAGUAUGGACAGGAUUUGAAGUACAAAAAUUUCAGCCUGCAGCUGAGGCUGACACCACACAAAUAUGCUUAUGGUACUGUUGCCUGCACCUGUGAGAAGCGGGGGUCACACUGGCCUGGAAAGGUUGUACGGCUUUUCCUCAGCAUUGACAUUUGGGUGUCCAGCCCACAGAAGGCCAGCGGGCAUGAUUGGCUAGACCAGGACUGUCAGCCCCAGAGACUCUUCUAUACUCCAUUCUAGGGAGGGGCAAGGCUAUCCCCAACCUGGUCCGUCCCAGAACAAUCUCUUGCUGACCUCAAGUUCUCCUCUUUGACUGUUGUGGCCAGAGCAUCUUGUGUGGACCAUCUAGACUCCUUGGGCUUCCAGGAGGACCCGAGCAAUAUAUUCCCUGUAUGUGCUGUGCCACACCUGACCUGUAUGCACACAGAGAGCUUCAUGGUGGUGGGCUCCCAGAAUGAUGCAAAAGCCUCCUACCCCAUCUCUCAAGGACAGUGAGCUCCAGAACCUUUGUAGUAGUUUAUGGUAUUAUUUUUCUACUCUGAUCAUGAAGCAAACACUAUUUUAUAAUAAAUAUGUAUUUUCGGUUGUGGGGUUGGCAGCCUUUUCCUUGUGACACCUGUUCCUAGAAUUUCAUCCUCUCCAAGAGAAGGUAAAGACUAUCACAGCAGUAUGUUCUGAGGCUGUGCUUAGUAAUACAGUGUGACACAAAGGCAGUGAUGAAAUGGUGUCCCACUGAUUGUCUUCCUUAAGCUGCAGCAUGAAUCAAUCCUGAAAGGCAUUGACUGUCUUCAGUUGUUAUUUGCAAAAGACUGCUUAAAUGCUUUCCCUCUGCCUCAGAGUCAGUCUUGUCUUCCACUGCUCUUACAGAUAACUGGAACUCCUUUCCAAGAUGGGCCAUGUGUUGUUGGAAGAAACAUAUUCUAAACUCAACAUACACAUUUCCUUUUCAGUCAUUGAUGUAAAAUUUUUGACUUAAAGGAACACAUACUUCCUUUCUUCUUUUUUUAAAAAACUGGAGAAAAUGGUACCCAGGUAAAUGUAUCAUAUCUUCAGAUAGCUUUUGAAUUCUUCUCUUAAAAAAAAUAAUUUAUUUAAUCUUAAAUUUGUUAUAUAUGAAAGCAGAAUGCAUUUCAUUUCAUAUUACACAUUUAGAGUUGUUCUGUAUCUUCUUGUCCCAAGAAGACACCAGGAGCCAUGAAAGACAGCAUCCACUUUAGGAAACCUUGAGGCCUGUGUGUCUGUUAUCAGAUGUAUCCUAAAAUAUCUGCUUUCUAAAAAAAUAUUGACCUUUAAAUCUUCUAUGAUGGUUUUUAACUUGGCUUUUUUUCCUCCCGGUCAUUAGGCUCUUUCCUGUCUUAUGGUCUCCACUGUCCAAAGCACUGAUGCUUUUUCUUAAUUUCUUCUCCGUGCUAUUGCCUCCCAGCUGCCCUUGGGGUCUAUCCAAAAACUACAAUGGACAGGUCUCAUCAGCUAUAAAAAAUAAUAACAAAAAGUACAACAGGAGCUUCCCUGAUAGUUCAAUCUCAAUUUCCAUGAGUACCAUUUUCUGCUGCUUCUCAAAAUUGCUUUCUCUGGCCCUGCUUUGAUAUAAUCAUUAGUAUCCAACUGGAGGGGAAUCCAUCCUUCCUGACCUCCCAGUUUGAUUUAGAGGUUCAGUGGUUAUAUCUAUCGUUCAAGCAGCACAGAUAAAUAAACGGAAAGUUCAGUUGGAAGUAUAGAGGUGGCUUAUAAAAUCUCAACUUUAGAAUUCAGAGGGGUCCAUUCCUGUAAUCCUAGCAGCUAGGGAGGCUGAGGCAGGAGGAUCUUGAGUUCAAAGCCAGCCUCAGCAAAAGUGAGGUACUAAGUAACUCAGUGAGACCUCAUGUCUAAAUAAAAUACAAAUAGGGUUGGGGAUGUGGGUCAGUGAUCGAGUGCCCCUGAGUUCAAUCUCUAGUACCCCACCCCCCCAAAAAAAAAUUCAGAGGGACUAUAGAGAUCAACUAAGUCUAAUUCCCUACUUUGUAGCAUUCACAACUGGUUACUGACAGGUGGAACUAGAAGACUUAUACAAGUUUUUUUGUUUGUUUGUUUGUUUUUGUUUUUUUUUGGUGCUGGGGAUUGAACCCAGGGCCUUAUGCAUGCUAGGCAAGCACUAUCAACUGAGCUAUAUCCCCAGCCGUAUAAGUGUCUCUAGAUGAAGAAAAUUCCAUUUCUCAACAGGUACCACUUGCAGAUGAGAAUAAUGGUCAAAAAAAAUGAGGACAUGAUUAGGUUAAGUGGAAGCAUAGACCAUUGUUUCCUGAGGGUGGCUCCAUAAAUGGCUAUUCUUCUUGAAGUUGUUGAGGCCUCUUGGGCACACCAGAGAAGUGUGUAUAACGAAAAUCAAGGCAGUGGAGGAUGGGAAGUCUUUUUAGUUACUGUGGCCAAAUGCCAUGUGCAUUGGAGUGUGAGGAAAACCACUUUAUGGUCAAUACAUAAACGUUCUGGGACAGUGGAGAGGGUCUGGUCAUGCAAGCUGGCAGACUGCUCAGUUGCUCACAACUAGAGCUAGUAAGUGGACUGCAUGGUCAUCUCUACUACAGAUGAGAGAAAAAAUAGGUUUAGGUUUCUGGCUUCAUCCCAUGAUGGAAACAUGUGGGAAACAAAUUCAUCCAGUGUCUUGAAGACAAUAUUUAACCCAUAUAAUGAUUCUACGGGGCAGAAGGAAAUACACUCAUGUUGUCACGUCACAUUAUGUUCAAGGGUAUUCAGCUUAGAAUUUGAACUACAGGUAACCCACACAUCUGUCUUAUUUUUUUUUUUUGGGGGGGGACUAGGGAUUAAACUUUGGGGACACUUAAAAACUGAGCUACAUCCCCAGCCUUUAAAAAAUUUUCUUCAAAAAUAUUUUUGUUGUAGAUGGACACAAUACCUUUGUUUAUUUUUUUAUGUAGUGCUGGGGAUCAAACCUAGUGCCUUGCACAUGCAAGUGCUCUACCACUGAGCCACAACCCCAGCUCACAUUUUUCGUAGAUGAUAUUGUGAACCACCUGACUCUACUGAAUGCUGUUUCCUCCAUUCAUAUUUAGACAUCAAAUGGAUUAUAGAGAUCAACUUGGUUACGUUAUUGGGUAACAACAUGCCGUUAACCUUGAACUCCUUAUCAUCAGAAUAGUAAAUCUGUGAUAUGAUCACUCUGCUUACAGACCUUCAGCCCUGCACAAACUUAUUUCACCAAGCUUUUAAAUAGCUUUUUUGGAAACCCAAGAUUACCCUGUAGCACUUCUACUAGGCUUUCUCAUCUAUUAUUCCUCCAAUUUAGAUGGACAUAUUCACAUUUUAUCUCUGGUUCUUAAAACAUUCCUGUGUGAAGACAGGUGCCCCACCCACCUGUAGUCCCAGUUACUGCGCGAAGGCUAUGUGGGAGAAUCACUUGAGCCCAUGAGUGACCAGCUCAGGCAACACAGUGAGACCCCACACCUUAAAAUAAUUUUCACCUUUUAGAUGAAAGAGACCAAGGCUACAUUGCUUUUCCAUGAUUAAAUUGAUGGAGGAACUAGGCACUAGUGACCAGAUAGCUUUCUUCCCUACAUGAACUUGAUGCAAUGUAAACUGAGCUCUUAUAAGGUAGGAAAUAUUCUCUGGAUCUAGUUAAGUCUUACUUUGAUGGGUAAAGGAUAAUUGAGAAGUUUCCUUUAACCAGGGUAUUAGAAGGCUAACAAAAAAAGCUAAAACUUCAAGGGGCACCUCUAAAGUAGGCCAUAUCCUGCCCAACUUGCCUCCUUCCUCACUCCUCCUGGUACUUUGCUAGGUCUCUUAGGAGGCUCAUCAGUCAAUCUUGGCUGUAGAGCAAUGUGCAGUUCCAGCCCAUGCCCAUGCCCAACACCUCAACAAAUCUAUUCAAUGCAGAAUCCACAAAACAGCUCACACCCCAUUUAUUAUUUAAAAAUAUUUUGUUACAAAAGGAAAAAAAAUACAAUGCAGUAUAAAAGAUUGACAGCGUCAUCAAGUUUAUUACACAAUUUUCAACCUAUCAGAAAGACAAACAAAUCACCGACAACGGGGGGAUGGGGGGGCCUUGGCCUUUUUGAGGGCUGGUUUUUUUUUUUGAUUUUUUUUUCCUUUUUGCUAUCAGGAAAUAAAACUAAAAUUGUCAUUGAGUAAAAACAAAACGAAAAUGGGGAGAAAAUAAUUCUCCGGGUAAACGGCUUUUCAGAUAUUCUAUAUACUGUUUUUCCUUAAACUGUCACCUUACUUGGUUUUCUCUACAUUUUAAAAAGACACCCGGAGCUGCUCUCGAGGAUAAGCACAUCACUUAACACUUGGCCAGUUGGGCAGGGUGCCAUGUUCUGAAGUGGUAGGGACAGGGUUGGGGGACAGGGGGGAAAAGCUACAACCUGUAGCCUCUGUCCCAAGGGAAUGUGCCUCUCCAACCCUGGGGGAUUCCCCCAGUGACUGAGGGGUGUAUCAGAAACGUGCUGGGAACAGAGGAAGGGUUCAGUCCAAUUCAGUCUCUCCCCUUCUAAGCCAGAAGGGUCUCCAGUGACCCUAUGCCUCACAUGCCGUUUCAUCUUACAUGCCACGUCUCUUCUCACAUUAGAUGUCAUAUGCCCCGUAGAUAUAUGCAGAAGUAGCAUCACCCCAUGGGUACUGCAGGACCCUAUUGCUGCCGCCUUCCUCAACAGCAACCACAUCACAAUUUGGAUGUUAUGGGAAAAGCAAUUCCAUUUGCCCUUGUAGAAAAUGGCCCCCAGAGUGCUGGUCCUUAGAACUCUGAGCUGAGUUCAUUCAAGUCAGGCUUCAUUUCUUCCUUGCUCCUUAUCGGAGGAAGUACCUCCAGGCAGAGUGAGUGGAGCUGUUACAUCAAUGUCAACAGAUGGAAAGACACCAAAUUUGUGACUUUACCUGCCUACGAGUGCUGGGUUAUCCCACAAUAAGUAAAAGUAUGUACCUGGGGGAUGCAAGCCCAUGCUUACAUCAAACCUGAAGAAAGAAAAGCCUAUGGAAGUAGGCCAUAUCCUGCCCAACUUGCCUCCUUCCUCAUUCCUCCUGGUACUUUGCUAAGGUUCUUCAUUGCUGAGGUCCCGAUAUCCCCAUCUCCCAAUGGCAGUAGCUUCCUCUAAAACAAGGAAGCAGCCUUCUUGGGGGAAGGGCUCCAUGUGUUAAAUGGAAAAGCCCCAGGGAAAGGGAACGCUUCAGAGAGCUGGUUAUUGCGAGAGCAACCAAGCACUAAGCAGCAGAGGGUGGCAAUUGGCUCUGCCAGGCAACCUAGCAGAAAGCAACCUCAGGGCCUUCUCAGCUUAGGAGAAGGCUGGGCAGCAGGGAGUCGAAAUCUCAAGUUCAGCCCUCUGGGAGGUCAGGGAAAUAAACCGUCAAUAUGUGAGAGGGGAAAACCAAGAACAGAAGUAGCUUUUCACAAGGUAUUUUCUGUUCUCCUGGUCCCUCCUCAAAGGGCUGAGAAGGUAAAGGAGUUAAACAAAGAAGUGGUAUGUUAGUAAGGGGUUUGGACCCUCUUGACCCCAUCAAAUCUAGUGCUGAGGGCAGGACCCUGGGUAUAUUUUGACAUACCCAGUUACUCUCCAAGAUCCCGCACGGAGAAUCUAUUUUCUUUGGGAAGGAAGUCUUCCCAUCAACCUCACCACUGCACUGCUCCUGGAGAAUCAGAUAUGGUUCCAUGGACAAAGCACCAUUCUCUAUGGAGACCAGGGCCUGAACAUGUUGCUUUCUUCUUGUCUGCCACCCCUCCCAACCACACAAAGUCUUUAGGUUCUUUCCCCCAGCACACAGGAGUGUGGGAUUGGGAGGGCUGCCAAGCCAUCUUCAAACCUGUAGGGCAGAGGGUAUUCCCUGGGUGUCAGGAGGGAGUUAAGGGUUUGGAGGAAGGGGAAGAGGUGGAGCGGCCUCCGUCCUUUAGUCCUGAUCAAGGUGAGGAGAUGCAAGUCCAUUAAAAAAAACAUUUGCUUCCAACCAGACUCCUGUAAGAGAAUAUCAGAAGAGGAGAAAUAAAACACAGAGGUUACUUUCUUAUCAGUAGGGGUUUGUAUGAAAUAUGCUAGCAUUUUCUUAACUUACAAUGUAAGAGUUAGGAGAUAUAGACAGAGAAUGCAAGCCCGGGUAGAAGCAAGGAAGCAGAUCACCUGACACUGAGAAGCAGUGAGGGAAUGGAUGCAGUUGAGAAAGAGAAAAAAAGCAAUAACAUCUUACUUUAAGGUAGGGAGAAAACACAACACAAAGCAGUCUGAAAAGGAGAUUUUGACUAGCAAAGUAUAGAAACUGUUACAAUUCAAGAAAAGUUGCUGUAAGGGAAAAUAUGGUAAGUUUAAAUACUGCUUCAGAAAAUCUAUUCUAAGUCACAGCUUAUCUUGAGGGGAAGGAAAAAAAUGAAGAAAUGGGAGGUACGGUGGUUAAGAAAAAAAAUGUGUGUAUAAAACCAAAUCCAUCAACCCACAAAAUGUUCCAGCAGGGAGCAUGAACUUCUAGUUAACUCCUAAGUUUUAUUUUUGUUUAAAGAAACACUGGGUAAAAUAGGUUCCAAGCAAUGUCCUUAUAAGUAGUGCAUGCUCGUGCACACACAUAGGACCAGGGCUUUUUUCUUUUGGUACUGAGGAUUGAACCCAGGGGUGCUUAACUACUGAGACACAUCCCCAACCCUUUUGUACUUUAUUUAGAGACAGGGUCUCACUGAGUUACUUAGGGCCUUGCUAUGUUGCUGAGGCUGGCUUUGAACUUACAAUUGUCCUGCUUUAGCCUCAGAGCCACAGGGAUUACAGGCAUGCGUCACUGUGCCCAGCCCCCAGAGCUUCCUAAUAAGCUGUACUAAAACUCAAGAAGAUUUAAGUUUUUCCACAGAUGACAGCUGUGAGUGAGACCAAGAAAUAUACGAACAUGAAGCAGGAACAACUUAAAAAAAGCAAAGCAUGGAAGGAAAAGAAAAUAAUCAGUAGCAAUUACCAUCAAAGAAACCUAAAAGCCUUUGCCCAAAGGUCUGUUAAUCUACUUGUCACAUCACCGCCAACUUAAGGUCCCCAGUACACUCAGCCCUAGUUCCAGUAUUGUAUUAUCUAUCUGCAGAUGAUAGUGUGGUCAGCCUGAUGAUAUAAAACAGCUUAAUAGUCAAAAGGAAAAAGGAGAACUAAAUUCAGACUUAAAAUUAUAGAAUUUUUGCUGAGUUUAGUGGUACACACCAGUGACCCAGGAGAGUAGGGCAAGAGAAUUGCAACUUCAAGGCCAGCCUCUGUAACUUAGCAAAAACAUAUCUCAAAUUAAAAAAAUAAAAAGAAAUACAGACUUUAUUUUUGGUUGUUGUUUUAGUAUUUGGGAUUGAAUCCAGGGCCUUAUACAUGCUAGACAGAGUUUAGAAUUUCCACCAAGCCCCAACUAGCAACACAGCCUACACACAAAUGCUCACCUUUUAUAUAUGCAUUUUUUUUUGUACAGAGGCCUCAUAACACCUGGAGGAGCUAGCCUAGGAAAAAACGCAUCCAUGUGGCACUUGACCCUUCUAACCCUAUAAUGGCACUAUUUUCAGCUUGGAUCUCCAAUCUAUAUGACCUCUGUCUUGCUGCCUUCUGUAACAUCUAUGUAGGCAGGUAUCUGUCCCAUUUCCUUUUAUUUUUUGUUUCACCACCCCCAGCCCCACUCCCACCCAGCCCAGCACUGCAGGUCAAACCUGGAGGCUCCUGUUUGCUAGCCUGUCCCAUUUUAUAUAAGUGAAAACUGAAACUCUUGGUGAAUUCUCCAUGUCACACCAUUCAGGUUUCUCAAUCUUUGAACUAGAUCAAAACUGAACAGAGCUCAGUUUUUCAAUGGAUGAGGAGGAUAGGAGGAAUAUGGUGAGAAUGAUUAUAUUUAAAAUAAAAUAAUAUUCUAAAAUAACAAGACAACCGACAUAGUUGAAAACUACAGAAAACUGAAGCCAGAGAACAUUCUCAAACUUCAGAACAUGCACAUAUCCCAGGAAGAGAUACGAUUUGUAAACUGUUCUUACAAAUCAAAAUGCAGAGAAUCACUAGUGUCUCAAGAACAUCCAGUUCUGAAAAGUCUAUGGCUACAUUCUAUGGUAAUGUUUGAAUGCAAGCAGAAAUCAAACACUGCUUCAGUGGGCCAAUCAGUUUUUAGGUCUAGAGCUUUGUCCUCUAUCAAGGAAGGAAGAACAGAGAAGUUUGGUGCUCUAUUGCCCCUGGACAGAACAUACCCUUCCUGCUCAAGGACCUGUUAACAGAACAGAAAUAUAAUUCUGUUCUUUUAACUGCUUGCACACACAGCCUGAAAAAUUAAGUUUGCUAAGGUAAGUAAGAUGGCCUAUGUACCAUCUCUGCAGUAUGAAACCUCUUAAGACACAACUUGGUAAACGCAGGUUGGAUUGAAUCCUUAGAAAGAGAACAUAAGAAAUUGAUAUUUUGGGGUAUCUUAUUAAUUUAUUUUGGACUAAACAAAAUAGAAUAAAAACAUAUCUAAAAGAUGACAAGGAAAAGCAGGGCAGUGAAAAAUCUGGCUUAAAGUUAAUAUUCCUUAUCUGGUCAUAGACAAGCAUCAAAUGACUUUUUCUGAAAAUACUAUUUUAAGACUUUCAGAAUUAUUCAAAUUGAAUCAUUCUCAUAAUGGGAGGUAUUGUCCAAUUUUGUAGGUGGAAAAAAAUGAGGUAAAGUGACAGCUAAAGACUUAAACUGAGAUGCUCGAUCCCCAAAGCACUGAUGGCUCAGAGGAUCUCGCCUGACAAUUUCCAUAUUCAUAGCCUGCCAGGAACAAAGCCACCAUGAAUGGUGACAUGCAGUUAUAUAUUCUAACUAGUAAACUGAAUGUGGCCCCAGAGAUAUAAUUCAUGCUUUGCACAGACCAAUCAACCCCUAUUUGUUAGCUCUAGGACACACACUGUGGCCUGCAUGAUGGGGGGUAGGGGGUGGUGGUUUUUUAUCUCAAGUAACACUACAAUUGUGCCAGCUCAAAUGAGAAGAGGAAAUAGUACUAGUACUGAAGGGUGGUACUAAACCAAGACUAUUCUAAUGCCUACCCUUUUGCUCACUCCCUGAGACUAAAACAGGCCCCAUCUCUAUAUAUUAAGUUGCUUUGCCAGAGGAUAUGUGAGCACUCCCAAAACUUAACCUGUUGCAAAAUCUAGAAGCCCCACAACCUAACUGUUGGUGCCAUGUGGGCUAUCCUAGACUUUGUGUUGUCAAGUAUUCUAGUACUUGUGGGACACAGUGGUUGAAGAAUGGAGAAGGGAGGCAAACAAAAAAAUCAGUAACUUCUCAUCUUCUCACUUACUUGCCUCCUAUGGCAGAUGAAAAGAACAACUAGCUAUAAGUCUAUUUAUAGUUUAUGGCACAUAAAGCCAAACAGAGCAAAAGGCAAGAGCCAAAAUAAGAGUAACCGUUUCUUGUUUGUUAAUAGGCUGUAACUAGACAAGAUACUGAUUUUUCAAAUGUUUCAGUCCAGCUACUGCUCAUGAACUGCAGGGACAUACAAGUGAACAAUUAAACAGGCAAAAGACCAAGGACAUCUUUAUAAUAUACUUCAUAUAAGACAAGGUAAGUAGCACCAGAGACUCACUAGUCUGCAACUGCAAAGUUGAGAACAGCUCCCAAGGUCAUCAGGAUCAUGCAGUAGUAGCUCCCAGGAACCACACAGAGACUCCUAGCCAAAGCCUGGACUACUUUAGAGAUCUCCACAGAAACAAAAUCAACAACUGCUCUUGUUUCCUUGCUACAAGCUUUCUUUCAGUUAGACUGCUAACUGGCAGGCUGUAACCCAGAACUCAGGCCCUUCCCCCAAGACAGAACCUUUCUGAGAAUGAAAACAUGGAGAGAAGUAGAGCUGAGAGGCAGGAAGGCUAAGUCCUGCUGAUGCAGCCAGAAACCCUGAAUCCAGGCAAUUCUAACUGAACUUUUCAAUUACCUGAGUUAAUCGUUUCCUCUCAACCUGACUGCUUUUGCUUAACUUAAAAAAAAAAAAAAAAAAAAUGGAAACAGUACUGAAAA